rnacentral:tRNA from 1 species
GGGCGUAUGGCUCAGUUGGUUAGAGCGCCGCGUUCACAUCGCGGAGAUCGCUGGUUCAACUCCAGCUGCGCCCA